UACGUAGGGGGGCAAGCGUUGUCCGGAUUUAUUGGGCGUAAAGAGCGUGUAGGCGGCCAGACAGGUCCGUUGUGAAAACUCGAGGCUCAACCUCGAGAUGUCGAUGGAAACCGUCUGGCUAGAGUCCGGAAGAGGAGUGUGGAAUUCCUGGUGUAGCGGUGAAAUGCGCAGAUAUCAGGAAGAACACCUAUGGCGAAGGCAGCACUCUGGGACGGUACUGACGCUGAGAC
rnacentral:rRNA from 1 species